UACGGAGGGUGCGAGCGUUGUCCGGAAUCACUGGGCGUAAAGGGCGCGUAGGCGGCCUGAUAAGUAGGGGGUGAAAUCCUGCGGCUUAACCGCAGGGCUGCCUUCUAAACUGUCAGGCUAGAGCACAGUAGGGGCAGGUGGAAUUCCCGGUGUAGCGGUGGAAUGCGUAGAGAUCGGGAAGAACAUCAGUGGCGAAGGCGGCCUGCUGGGCUGUUGCUGACGCUGAGGCGCGACAGCGUGGGGAGCAAACAGG
rnacentral:rRNA from 1 species